rnacentral:rRNA from 1 species
CUACGGGGUGCAGCAGUGGGGAAUAUUGCACAAUGGAGGAAACUCUGAUGCCGCAACGCCGCGUGGAGGAUGACACUUUUCGGAGCGUAAACUCCUUUUAUAUAGGAAGAAGAUGACGGUACUAUAUGAAUAAGCGCCGGCUAACUCCGUGCCAGCAGCCGCGGUAAUACGGAGGGCGCAAGCGUUACUCGGAAUCACUGGGCGUAAAGAGCGUGUAGGCGGAUUAAAAAGUCAGAAGUGAAAUACUAUAGCUUAACUAUAGAACUGCUUCUGAAACUCUUAAUCUAGAAUAUGGGAGAGGUAGAUGGAAUUUCUGGUGUAGGGGUAAAAUCCGUAGAGAUCAGAAGGAAUACCGAUUGCGAAGGCGAUCUACUAGAACAUUAUUGACGCUGAGACGCAAAAGCGUGGGGAGCAAACAGGAUUAGAUACCCGAGUAGUC